rnacentral:rRNA from 1 species
UACGUGGGGUGCAAACGUUGCUCGGAAUUAUUGGGCGUAAAGCGCACGUAGGCGGUUUGUUAAGUCGGAUGUGAAAUCCCUCGGCUCAACUGAGGAAGUGCAUCCGAAACUGGCAAGCUUGAGUACGAAAGAGGGUCGCGGAAUUCCCGGUGUAGAGGUGAAAUUCGUAGAUAUCGGGAGGAACACCGGUGGCGAAGGCGGCGACCUGGGUCGAUACUGACGCUGAGGUGCGAAAGCGUGGGGAGCAAACAGG